rnacentral:rRNA from 1 species
CAGUCGAGCGAUGAUGAAGAAAGCUUGCUUCUUCUGAUUUAGCGGCGGACGGGUGAGUAACACGUGGGCAACCUGCCCUGUAGAUUGGGAUAACUCCGGGAAACCGGGGCUAAUACCGAAUAAUCCAUUACCUCACAUGAGGAAAUGUUAAAAGACGGUCUCGGCUGUCACUACAGGAUGGGCCCGCGGCGCAUUAGCUAGUUGGUGAGGUAACGGCUCACCAAGGCGACGAUGCGUAGCCGACCUGAGAGGGUGAUCGGCCACACUGGGACUGAGACACGGCCCAGACUCCUACGGGAGGCAGCAGUAGGGAAUCUUCCACAAUGGACGAAAGUCUGAUGGAGCAACGCCGCGUGAGUGAAGAAGGUUUUCGGAUCGUAAAACUCUGUUGUGAGGGAAGAACAAGUACGAGAGUAACUGCUCGUACCUUGACGGUACCUCAUUAGAAAGCCACGGCUAACUACGUGCCAGCAGCCGCGGUAAUACGUAGGUGGCAAGCGUUGUCCGGAAUUAUUGGGCGUAAAGCGCGCGCAGGCGGUCCUUUAAGUCUGAUGUGAAAGCCCACGGCUCAACCGUGGAGGGUCAUUGGAAACUGGGGGACUUGAGUGCAGAAGAGGAAAGCGGAAUUCCAAGUGUAGCGGUGAAAUGCGUAGAGAUUUGGAGGAACACCAGUGGCGAACGCGGCUUUCUGGUCUGUAACUGACGCUGAGGCGCGAAAGCGUGUGGAGCAAACUGGAUUACAUACCCUGGUAGUCCACGCCUUAUAUUAUGAUUGCUAAU